ensembl:miRNA mir96 microRNA mir-96
CUCUUCUUCGCCCAUUUUGGCACUAGCACAUUUUUGCUUCUGUAUGUAUACUUUGAGCAAUUAUGUGUAGUGCCAAUAUAGGAGAAGACAGACUUUCAACCU